rnacentral:rRNA from 1 species
UAGGGAAUCUUCGGCAAUGGACGAAAGUCUGACCGAGCAACGCCGCGUGAGUGAAGAAGGUUUUCGGAUCGUAAAACUCUGUUGUUAGAGAAGAACAAGGACGUUAGUAACUGAACGUCCCCUGACGGUAUCUAACCAGAAAGCCACGGCUAACUACGUGCCAGCAGCCGCGGUAAUACGUAGGUGGCAAGCGUUGUCCGGAUUUAUUGGGCGUAAAGCGAGCGCAGGCGGUUUCUUAAGUCUGAUGUGAAAGCCCCCGGCUAAACCGGGGAGGGUCAUUGGAAACUGGGAGACUUGGGUGCAGAAGGGGAGAGUGGAAUUCCAUGUGUAGCGGUGAAAUGCGUAGGUAUAUGGAGGAACACCAGUGGCGAAGGCGGCUCUCUGGUCUGUAACUGACGCUGAGGCUCGAAAGCGUGGGGGGCAAACAGG